GACGAACGCUGGCGGCGUGCCUAAUACAUGCAAGUCGAGCGCAGGAAACUGACGGAACUCUUCGGAGGGAAGGCAGCGGAAUGAGCGGCGGACGGGUGAGUAACACGUAAGGAACCUGCCUCAAGGAUUGGGAUAACUCCGAGAAAUCGGAGCUAAUACCGGAUAGUUCAUCGGACCGCAUGGUCCGCUGAUGAAAGGCGCUCCGGCGUCACCUUGAGUUGGCCUUGCGGUGCAUUAGCUAGUUGGUGGGGUAACGGCCCACCAAGGCGACGAUGCAUAGCCGACCUGAGAGGGUGAUCGGCCACACUGGGACUGAGACACGGCCCAGACUCCUACGGGAGGCAGCAGUAGGGAAUCUUCCACAAUGGACGAAAGUCUGAUGGAGCAACGCCGCGUGAGUGAUGAAGGUUUUCGGAUCGUAAAACUCUGUUGUAAGGGAAGAACACGUACGAGAGGGAAUGCUCGUACCUUGACGGUACCUUACGAGAAAGCCACGGCUAACUACGUGCCAGCAGCCGCUGUAA
rnacentral:rRNA from 1 species